CUCCGUAGGUGAACCUGCGGAGGGAUCAUUACACAAAUAUGAAGGCGGGCUGGAACCUCUCGGGGUUACAGCCUUGCUGAAUUAUUCACCCUUGUCUUUUGCGUACUUCUUGUUUCCUUGGUGGGUUCGCCCACCACUAGGACAAACAUAAACCUUUUGUAAUUGCAAUCAGCGUCAGUAACAAAUUAAUAAUUACAACUUUCAACAACGGAUCUCUUGGUUCUGGCAUCGAUGAAGAACGCAGCGAAAUGCGAUAAGUAGUGUGAAUUGCAGAAUUCAGUGAAUCAUCGAAUCUUUGAACGCACAUUGCGCCCUUUGGUAUUCCAAAGGGCAUGCCUGUUCGAGCGUCAUUUGUACCCUCAAGCUUUGCUUGGUGUUGGGCGUCUUGUCUCUAGCUUUGCUGGAGACUCGCCUUAAAGUAAUUGGCAGCCGGCCUACUGGUUUCGGAGCGCAGCACAAGUCGCACUCUCUAUCAGCAAAGGUCUAGCAUCCAUUAAGCCUUUUUUUCAAUUUUUGACCUCGGAUCAGGUAGGGAUACCCGCUGAACUUAAGCAUAU
rnacentral:rRNA from 1 species